rnacentral:rRNA from 1 species
UACGGGGGGGGGCAAGCGUUGUUCGGAAUUACUGGGCGUAAAGGGUUCGUAGGUGGCCAACUAAGUCAGACGUGAAAUCCCUCAGCUUAACUGGGGAACUGCGUCUGAUACUGGAUGGCUUGGAUUCGGGAGAGGAAUGCGGAAUUCCAGGUGUAGCGGUGAAAUGCGCAGAUAUCAGGAGGAACACCGGUGGCGAAGGCGGGUCUCUGGGCCGAUACUGACGCUGAGGAGCGAAAGCGUGGGGAGCGAACAGG